rnacentral:rRNA from 1 species
UACGUAGGGGGCAAGCGUUGUCCGGAAUCAUUGGGCGUAAAGCGCGUGUAGGCGGCUCGCUAAGUCCGCUCUGAAAGUCCAGGGCUCAACCCUGGGAUGCGGGUGGAUACUGUCGGGCUCGAGUCCGGAAGAGGCGAGUGGAAUUCCUGGUGUAGCGGUGAAAUGCGCAGAUAUCAGGAGGAACACCAAUGGCGAAGGCAGCUCGCUGGGACGUGACUGACGCUGAGACGCGAAAGCGUGGGGAGCAAACAGG